rnacentral:rRNA from 1 species
UACGUAGGGUGCAAGCGUUAAUCGGAAUUACUGGGCGUAAAGCGUGCGCAGGCGGUUUUGUAAGUCUGUCGUGAAAUCCCCGGGCUCAACCUGGGAAUUGCGAUGGGAGACUGCAAGGCUAGAAUCUGGCAGAGGGGGGUAGAAUUCCGACGUGUGGAGCAGUGAAAUGCGUAGAGAUAGUGGAGGAACACCGAUGGCGAAGGCAGCCCCCUGGGUCAAGAUUGACGC